rnacentral:rRNA from 1 species
UACGAAGGGUGCAAACGUUGCUCGGAAUUAUUGGGCGUAAAGCGCACGUAGGCGGCUUUGCAAGUCGGAUGUGAAAUCCCUCGGCUUAACCAAGGAAGUGCAUCCGAAACUGCGAAGCUUGAGUACGAAAGAGGAUCGCGGAAUUCCCGGUGUAGAGGUGAAAUUCGUAGAUAUCGGGAGGAACACCAGUGGCGAAGGCGGCGAUCUGGGUCGAUACUGACGCUGAGGUGCGAAAGCGUGGGGAGCAAACAGG